UUCUCUCUUUUAUUAGAAAAAGCUUAUUUUCUAUUUUAAAUAUUUAAAAUUAGUAAUCAAAUUGUAAAUAAAAAAAUGGAAACUUGGUCCUGAUUUACUAAUAUGGCAAAGACUAAAAAAUACACAUGGUUUUUAUAGAAAGAGGCGAGGUAGGAAACAAAUAAUUUUGAUAUAUGAUUUAAUAUUUAUUUCUUUCUUAUGGUAUUAUAAAAAUAUAAAAUGCUUUGAAAAGUCCCGCUAGCACCAGUGUUGAAGAUUAAUUAAAAGUGAAAACUUGUAUUAAUUUAGUAAAUUAAAUUUGGUUAAUUUUGGUGCCAGCAUCCGCGGUUAUACCAAAAAAUUGAGUCAUAUCUAUAAGGUAAAAAGAUAGUUAGACAUUAAAAAUUUUAGGUUUAUUGAUUAUUUAUAAAAAAGUAAAAUUUGAAUAUAAAUACAUAAUUUAAUAAUAGCUUAAUAAGUUGAAUCUGUGACAGCCUUGAGGGAAACUGGGAUUAGAUACCCCAUUAUUCUAGGUUAUAAAUCAAAUGAAAUUUACCAGAGUACUAUGAAUACUACAAAAUUUAAAACUCAAAGGGCUUGGCGGUGUUUUAGACCGCUCAGGGGAACCUGUCUCAUAAUCGACAAUCCACGUUAUAUCUGACCUUUUUUUGCUUUCAGCCUGUAUACCGUUGUCGUCAGGUAACUUUUUAGAAAUUAGAAGUUAGCUAAAAAUGCUAUAAAUUAAAACGUCAAAUCAAGGUGCAGCUUAUAAAAAGGAGAGGAUGGGUUACAAUUAUUUAAUUAUAAUUACGGAAAUCAUAAGAAUUAGGUGAUAAGAAGGAGGACUUGAAAGUAAAUUAAAAUAUAUAAAUAAUUUGAAUAAGGCUCUGAAACGUGCACACAUCGCCCGUCGCUCUUGUUGGAAAAUAAGAUAAGUCGUAACAUAGUAGGGGUAAUGGAAAUUGUCCCUAAACU
rnacentral:rRNA from 1 species